UGGGGAAUUUUGGACAAUGGGGGAAACCCUGAUCCAGCAACGCCGCGUGAAUGAAGAAGGCCUUAGGGUUGUAAAGUUCUUUUGUCUGGGAGCAAAGGUUAUGUGCUAAUAGUAUAUGACGCUGAGAGUACCAGAAGAAUAAGCACCGGCUAACUACGUGCCAGCAGCCGCGGUAAUACGUAGGGUGCGAGCGUUAAUCGGAAUAACUGGGCGUAAAGGGUGAGUAGGCGGAUAUGUAAGUUAGUAGUGAAAUACCUGGGCUUAACCUGGGAGGUGCUAUUAAGACUGUGUAUCUAGAGUAUGUUAGAGGGGGUAGGAAUUCCAAGUGUAGCAGUGAAAUGCGUAGAGAUUUGGAGGAACACCGAUGGCGAAGGCAUGCCCCUGGGAUAAUACUGACGCU
rnacentral:rRNA from 1 species